rnacentral:rRNA from 1 species
GACGAACGCUGGCGGCGUGCUUAACACAUGCAAGUCGAACGGAAAGGCCCUGCUUUUGUGGGGUGCUCGAGUGGCGAACGGGUGAGUAACACGUGAGUAACCUGCCCUUGACUUUGGGAUAACUUCAGGAAACUGGGGCUAAUACCGGAUAGGAGCUCCUGCUGCAUGGUGGGGGUUGGAAAGUUUCGGCGGUUGGGGAUGGACUAGCGGCUUAUCAGCUUGUUGGUGGGGUAGUGGCUUACCAAGGCUUUGACGGGUAGCCGGCCUGAGAGGGUGACCGGCCACAUUGGGACUGAGAUACGGACCAGACUCCUACGGUAGGCAGCAGUGGGGAAUAUUGCACAAUGGGCGGAAGCCUGAUGCAGCAACGCCGCGUGCGGGAUGACGGCCUUCGGGUUGUAAACCGCUUUCGCCUGUGACGAAGCGUGAGUGACGGUAAUGGGUAAAGAAGCACCGGCUAACUACGUG